UAUAUCAGUGUCACACUGUGUCACACACAAACUGUCCAGAAAGUAAGCACAAAGACAGUGUGUGUUUGACCCUGACACCAUGAUGAUGAUGAUGAUGAUAACUGUUUUAUGGUCGCUGCACAGCAGGAAGCAGUCCUCUCAGGUGCCUGAUCACACAGCAGCGGGACGCGGUGCUGAGGAGACGCUAUCUUUGGCCAGAUGGGGGUGACGUUCGCUGGACUUUAUCUCACUCACAGUCUUAUUGUAGAAAUACGCACUGCGGCUUGUGUUCACACCUGACAAUAGCUGCGUGCUGUUUCAGUUCUCAUUUUAGCAUGCUGUGUCAUGCGUGUCAUCUGUCACACAGGGCGGGUAUUUUCCAACAAGCGAUCGUAUUUAGUCUAAAAAGCACGAGUUCCCAAGUCAUAAGAAUAAUAAUAAUAAUAAUAAAAUCCCUACAUUUUUUCAUUUGGUUAUUCACCACGUUUGGAGAAUCAGCAGUGCCAGGUGCUUCGUGCGUUGAUUACCUUUCAUGCGCCUUAACGUGAAAGCAGCACUUCCUUUACAGAAGAGUCAACAUGCCUUUCAUGUGUUUGUGGGAGUUUGAGGUUCAGGUGCAGCUUCAGCACAGGAUACUGCACGCUGCUUUGUUCACAAAUAUGGCUGAAUGGAAACUGUGCUUUGUACUGCUUCUGCCGCUAACUGCGUGCAUUGACAGCAGAGGUCACCAAAGGUCGGCAAGUCGUUUUUCUUUCAUCUUCCUGUCUGUGGACAACUAAAGAUUUUCUCUAACUUUCUACUGUCAGUCUAGUAGAAUUUAAAAAUGUGAUCUGUGUGUUUGUUUGUUUGUUUGUUUGUUUUCCAAUUGUGAUUGAUUGCAGCAACUCCUGUGAAAACGGUUGGGAGAAGACCGGAUGCCAUCACACAGAGGGAAACGGGGAUGUCGUCGACUUUGAGCUUCAUGAACCGGACUGCACCUGACCGGUUACACCUGUGCCAGUAACAGCACACCACGUGGUACUGCGAGCUGUGGAGCAGCCAGCAGCUUCUUCUUCUGCCAAGGACUUUAUUUUGUUUGUUUACAACGUUUCAGAGGGAGCCAGAGGACAAGGAGCCAUACAGCGCAGACAGGGAGAAGCACUUUAAUACUAACUAACAACAGCGCCUGUUGUCCACAAGGUGGCACUGUUACGCUGUUGAUAUAUUGUACCGCCGUGAUGAGCGGUCAUCUGAUGAUUAUAAUGUCUCUGAAGAUGGAAAUUAUAUAUUAAUUGAUUUAAAAAUAUAUAAAUAAAUUAAAAGAUGUUACAACAGGUAACCUUGCGCCCUCCGAAAUGCGGUUCUGUGUGUGUGUGUGUGAUGUUGACACACAGUUGACACAGAAGCUGAAGGUACAGUCAAAGUAAAACACGAUAGUUUCUGUAUGACUUUGACUGUUAGAAAGUGUCACAUGAGUGUUAAUUUUUGUCUGUCUGAAGCUGUCUUUAUAUGGGAAUGCAUACAUUUCUGUUUCUUAGGUUACCUGUGUUUCAUUUACACUUUUAAUCAUCCGUUGUUUUUAAGUUUUAUUCCAUUUGCCAGACUGUUUUGUUCAUACAUUGCUGUGUGUUUUCUUUUCGUGUUUAUCCUUUCAUUGUAAGGCAAAUUAGCUUCCAUUUGAAUGCUGACAGCUACGACUCCUUUCAGUCAGAGGAAACCACAUCUGUGUAAACUGUUUUAUUAAUGAAGGCUCCACAGGUACAUCCCGUCACUUGUUUAUUGUUCAGUGGAAACCCACAGUGUCACGUUGUUUUCUUUUGUUACAGUGAACAAGGAAGACUUUACAGAAACAUUUGUACAGACUUGAAGUCCUUUUCAAGCAGCACUGAGGGAGAUUCAGAGGAAACGAGUCAGCUGUAUUGACUGUAUCUGCAUGUACAUUCAGCAUGUGUUUGUGAUGAGGCGUGUGCUUUCACGCCGCACGCUAUCAAACUGACCUAAAAAUAAACUGU